CCUUGACUUCCGCGUAUAGAAGGUAUAAAUAUCGAUGCCUCCGGUUCUUCCGGCCUUUUCGGGAAAGACUGCUGCUCUUGUUGUGGAGUGUUUGGUAAGUUUUCCUAACCGCCUGCUUCGUUAACUCUAGGUCUUCUACCCCGGGUACCCCAACCAGCUUUUUCCGUGGGAAUCUACUGUUUAGAAUGAUUCCGAAUCUUUUGCGUCCGUGGUAACUACACUUACUCGCAAAAUGAGGCUGGGUCGGGUGUGGGCCGGGGAGGCCUCAUGGGCUGUGAGUCUCGGUAACCAAGGCGCGCUAGUGCCGAAACUCCCCGACUUGCAGGGUUGGCAUCCUGCGCAGCGUUCGUCUUCGUUACUGUUUACUGCGGCAUAUAUAAUGCUGCUUCCUAGGAGGCGCGUUUGCGCUUUAAGUGGAGUUGCAUGCAGGGUAUUUUGUUCCUGGUUUUGUUUAAAAGUUUUUGUGGUUUAGAAACGGAUGCUUUAGUUAUGCGAGUUUUUAUCUUUUGAGGUGGUUUUCCUAUUCCAGAUGAUAGGAUUAAAGAUAGAAGCUUUAAUUGCUGUAACGACUGUACACUUGCUAUUUCUUUGGCAGGAAGUUCAUCGCCUGUUGGGGUUUCUAGAUGUUUUCUUUGGAGACCUAGCUGAAAAUUCAGAUUACUAAUGUGUGUCUGAUUAUCGGUCUUGGACUGGAAUUUUUUUGUUGACACUCCAGGUGUUUUGGGUCUACUCCCUUAUAUAUAUCUCUCCGAAGCAGCUAUCAACUGGGUGAAGUUAGUUUCUCAAGUAUAGUGACCAACGUGGAUACCCCGGGAGGUCACUCUCCCCGGGCUCUGUCCAGGUGGCGUAGGGGAGCAUAGGGCUCUGCCCCGUGAGGUACAGUCCCUUUCCACAACGUUGGAGAUGAAGCUAGGCCUUGAGUCAGCGCCUGCAUAUUCCUACAGCUUCUCAGAGUCCUGUGGACAAUGACUGGGGAGACAAACCAUGCAGGAAACAGCUCUGUAGAGCAACCUAUGUGGAUCUGGGUUGAUCUGAAAUACCGGAAAAAUUUGCUUUACUCAGUUUUACUAUAGUAGUAGAUUAAGCUCUUACCUGCCUUGUUUUACAGUGUUCAUUCGGGAUUCGGGAUAGCUUGAUUUGAGGAGAGAAGAGGAGCCUCGCUAAUUUUGCAGUUAACACUAAUGCUUUGGGGUCCUUUAUUCGGCAGGGAGAGUUGGUAAAGUGAGUAAUACACUGUUUUUGGAAGAUAAAGCCUGGACGGCCUGAAAAUGUUUGGGCACAGUGUUUAACCCUAGAACUGCACCUUGAAACCCAGCAGAGUAAUAGGUGGUUCUGUUGCCCAGGGGCCCACUGAAAUUUUUAAGGAUUUCUAAAUGAUCCUGGUGUGUGGGCAGGUCUGUUAAAAAGACAGUAUAGUCUUGACCUAGGAGGCCCAGAGACCCUUCCACGUUUCCUAUGAAUUGGAACCUUGUCAUGAUAACACUAAUAUACGACUUAGCCUUUUUUUUUUUACCAUUCUGAAGUAUUUUCUAACAGUGAAAAGCAGAUGCCCAUGAGAACCUAAAUGUCCUAUUGAAAGAAAUCCAUGUCAGUUUCUAAUGUACUCAUAAAUAAAGAUGAUAGUAUAUAUA